rnacentral:rRNA from 1 species
AACGAACGCUGGCGGCAUGCCUAACACAUGCAAGUCGAGCGAGACCUUCGGGUCUAGUGGCGCACGGGUGCGUAACGCGUGGGAACCUGCCCUUAGGUUCGGAAUAACUCCCCGAAAGGGGUGCUAAUACCGGAUAAUGUCUUCGGACCAAAGAUUUAUCGCCUUUGGAUGGGCCCGCGUUGGAUUAGCUAGUUGGUAGGGUAAAAGCCUACCAAGGCGACGAUCCAUAGCUGGUCUGAGAGGAUGAUCAGCCACACUGGGACUGAGACACGGCCCAGACUCCUACGGGAGGCAGCAGUGGGGAAUAUUGGACAGUGGGCGAAAGCCUGAUCCAGCAAUGCCGCGUGAGUGAUGAAGGCCUUAGGGUUGUAAAGCUCUUUUACCCGGGAUGAUAAUGACAGUACCGGGAGAAUAAGCUCCGGCUAACUCCGUG